rnacentral:rRNA from 1 species
GACGAACGCUGGCGGCGUGCCUAAUACAUGCAAGUAGAACGCCGUUGCGAACGGGUGAGUAACGCGUAGGUAACUGCCUCAUCGCGGGGGAUAACUAUUGGAAACGCUAGCUCAUACCGCAUACUGGAAGAUGGACCUGCGUUGUCUUAGCUUGUUGGUGAGGUAAAGGCUCCGCAAGGCGACGAUACAUAGCCGACCUGAGAGGGAGAACGGCCAACCUGGGACGGAGAGACGGCCAAGAAGCCUACGGGAGGAAGCAGUAGGGAAUAUUCGGCAAUGGAGGGAAGUGUGACCGAGCAGAGCCGCGUGAGUGAAGAGGGUUUUCGGAUCGUAAAGCUAUGUUGUUAGAGAAGCGGUAACGAACCAGAAAGGGACGGCUAACUACGUGCCAGCGGCCGCGGUAAUUC